GUACGGGAGGCAGCAGUGAGGGAUCUUCGGCAAUGGGGGCAACCCUGACCGAGCAACGCCGCGUGCGGGAGGACGGCCUUCGGGUUGUAAACCGCUUUUCUGUGGGACGAGUAUGGACGGUACCACAGGAAGAAGUCUCGGCUAACUACGUGCCAGCAGCCGCGGUAAUACGUAGGAGACGAGCGUUGUCCGGAGUUACUGGGCGUAAAGGGUGCGCAGGCGGCCGCGCGCGUCGCGAGUGAAAUCUCCCGGCUCAACUGGGAGGGUGGUCGCGAGACGGCGUGGCUUGAGGCGUGGAGAGGGGCGUGGAAUUCCGGGUGGAGCGGUGAAAUGCGUAGAGAUCCGGAGGAACACCGACGGCGUAGGCAGCGCCCUGGACACGACCUGACGCUCAGGCACGAAAGCUCGGGGAGCGAACAGGAUUAGAUACCCGUGUAC
rnacentral:rRNA from 1 species